rnacentral:rRNA from 1 species
CCUACGGGCGGCAGCAGUAGGGAAUCUUCCACAAUGGGCGAAAGCCUGAUGGAGCAACGCCGCGUGGGUGAAGAAGGUCUUCGGAUCGUAAAACCCUGUUGUUAGAGAAGAAAGUGCGUGAGAGUAACUGUUCACGUUUCGACGGUAUCUAACCAGAAAGCCACGGCUAACUACGUGCCAGCAGCCGCGGUAAUACGUAGGUGGCAAGCGUUAUCCGGAUUUAUUGGGCGUAAAGGGAACGCGGGCGGUCUUUUAAGUCUGAUGUGAAAGCCUUCGGCUUAACCGGAGUAGUGCAUUGGAAACUGGGAGACUGGAGUGCAGAAGAGGAGAGUGGAACUCCAUGUGUAGCGGUGAAAUGCGUAGAUAUAUGGAAGAACACCAGUGGCGAAAGCGGCUCUCUGGUCUGUAACUGACGCUGAGGUUCGAAAGCGUGGGUAGCAAACAGGAUUAGAUACCCCUGUAGUC